rnacentral:rRNA from 1 species
ACGAACGCUGGCGGCAUGCCUAACACAUGCAAGUCGAACGAGACCUUCGGGUCUAGUGGCGCACGGGUGCGUAACGCGUGGGAACCUGCCCUUAGGUUCGGAAUAACUCCCCGAAAGGGGUGCUAAUACCGGAUAAUGUCUUCGGACCAAAGAUUUAUCGCCUUUGGAUGGGCCCGCGUUGGAUUAGCUAGUUGGUAGGGUAAAAGCCUACCAAGGCGACGAUCCAUAGCUGGUCUGAGAGGAUGAUCAGCCACACUGGGACUGAGACACGGCCCAGACUCCCACGGGGGGCAGGAGGGGGGAAUAUUGGACAAGGGGCGAAAGCCUGAUCCAGAAAUGCCGGGUGAGUGAUGAAGGCCUUAGGGUUGUAAAGCUCUUUUACCCGGGAUGAUAAUGACAGUACCGGGAGAAUAAGCCGCGGCUAACCCCGU